AACUUUAAAUGGUGGAUCACUGGGCACGUAUAUUGAUGAAGAGUCCAGCCAACUGGGUGAAUUAGUGUGCAAUGCAUGUUGCUUGAACAUUGGGAUCUUGAAUGCAUAUUGCGACUGCACAAUAUACUGAGGCCGCGCUUGGCUGAGAGCUG
rfam:Schistosoma curassoni strain Dakar, Senegal genome assembly, scaffold: SCTD_scaffold0006143